UCUGGCCAUACCACGUUGAAAAACAGGUUCCCGUAUGAUCACCGAAGUUAAGCAACAUCGAGCAACUGAAGAAUGGGGGACCGUUUGGAAAUACCAUGUGCUGUAAG